rnacentral:rRNA from 1 species
UCGCCUGUGGAGGAGCCUGCGUUCGAUUAGCUAGUUGGUGGGGUAAAGGCCUACCAAGGCGAUGAUCGAUAGCUGGUUUGAGAGGAUGAUCAGCCACACUGGGACUGAGACACGGCCCAGACUCCUACGGGAGGCAGCAGUGGGGAAUAUUGGACAAUGGGGGCAACCCUGAUCCAGCAAUGCCGCGUGUGUGAAGAAGGUCUUCGGAUUGUAAAGCACUUUCGACGGGGACGAUGAUGACGGUACCCGUAGAAGAAGCCCCGGCUAACUUCGUGCCAGCAGCCGCGGUAAUACGAAGGGGGCUAGCGUUGCUCGGAAUGACUGGGCGUAAAGGGCGUGUAGGCGGUUUACACAGUCAGAUGUGAAAUCCCCGGGCUUAACCUGGGAGCUGCAUUUGAUACGUGUAGACUAGAGUGUGAGAGAGGGUUGUGGAAUUCCCAGUGUAGAGGUGAAAUUCGUAGAUAU